CUGGGAAGUCUACCACCAACCUAUAGGAACCGUUCGUGGAGGAUGAACAUACUUUAAAACAGGUUGGCGAGGAAGACUUCCCAGAUGACAUUUGAGAAGAAACCUGAAUGAUGUGAGGAAACCAUGAGGAUAUCUAGGGAAGAGUCUUCCAGGCAGAGGGAAAAGCCAGUGCAAAGGCCCUGAGACAAGCACUAAGCUUUGCAUAUUUGAGGAACAGAGAAGUGUGCAGCUGUGACGGUAACGGGUGGCUGAUGCGGAGAUGGAGGGGAGUUGAGGGCAGAGAGGUCGGAGGGGAAACCGCGGAGGAGCCCACCCGGGCCUCUGGGCCCCACACCAGGCCUGAGCUUCCCGCUACUCACUGCAGUGGGCGAAGACCGGCAGGACCUGCC